GAUGAACGCUGGCGGCGUGCUUAACACAUGCAAGUCGAACGGAAAGGCCCAAGCUUGCUUGGGUACUCGAGUGGCGAACGGGUGAGUAACACGUGGGUGAUCUGCCCUGCACUUCGGGAUAAGCCUGGGAAACUGGGUCUAAUACCGGAUAGGACCACUUCUUGGAUGUUGUGGUGGAAAGUUUUUUCGGUGUGGGAUGAGCUCGCGGCCUAUCAGCUUGUUGGUGGGGUAAUGGCCUACCAAGGCGUCGACGGGUAGCCGGCCUGAGAGGGUGUACGGCGACAUUGGGACUGAGAUACGGCCCAGACUCCUACGGGAGGCAGCAGUGGGGAAGAGUGCACAAUGGGCGCAAGCCUGAUGCAGCGACGCCGCGUGGGGGAUGACGGCCUUCGGGUUGUAAACUCCUUUCGCUAGGGACGAAGCGUUUUGUGACGGUACCUGGAGAAGAAGCACCGGCUAACUACGUG
rnacentral:rRNA from 1 species